AAAACAGAGACGAGUGAGCAGAGCAUUUUUCAGGUUUUACCCGAAAUGCUUUGCACAAAUCCUUACAUCAUUUAGGAUGUUGUUCAUUGCUAAAACAGAACUCAGUGUUCACAGACACUUUAAUAUACAGCUGAACAUAUAAUUAAUUUUAUUUUCCAUCUGAUAGGUGUACAGGGGGAAAAAAGGUCAAAAUAAAAACUUCCACACUAUUUGGCAAACCUAAAUAAUUAAUUUCUGUUUUGGUCUUAUUUAUUUAUUUGUUUUAAAUAAAGGAAGGCAUUGGUUUCUUAAAAGAACUCAGGUGUCGUUCAUAAAUGCAUCAAGGAGGAAGAGGAGGAGCGAUUCUGCAGGGCCUCUGCGUGAGGAUGCCAAUGGAUGGAGCAGCUCAGCUUCUUUCUAUAAUUUACUGCCACCAUGGCUGUGAAGGUCCAUGCAUAUUUCUGAAAUGAGAGAGUCCGAACACAGCUCCAUCAGGGGUCAGCAGGCAUGAAACAAGGAGCGAAGUCCUACACAUGCACAUCAGGCUGCAGGAGCUGAGAUGCUGGGGCUACAGCCCUGCAGUUUAGGGGUACGGGUUGCUGGGAUUGUCCUUUUUUCUACCCUGCAGCAGGGGGUAGAAGAGCAGGUCAGCUCUCAUCCUCUCGAAGCAUGAGGACUGGGGCCAUGGAAGGAAGGAGCUGCAGUGCCUGUGCAGCCCAGCCAUCCUCAAACUGGGCAGAAAAGCCUGAAAUCACUGCAAGGAGCAGUGCUCUCCCCUUCUGAGCAGGAAAGGGAGAGCAAAACCAGCACUGCAUUUAUCUGUAAGUGCUCAAAUUAAGAGUAGAAAUAAGAUUUCCACUAUGAUGACAAAUUAAUUCUUCCUUUCAUAAUUUUAUUAAAAUAAGCAUCUUCUAUCUUUUAACUAGACCUGACAUAUGCUUACAUAGAUACAACACACCAUGUAACCUAAUCUGCCAGCAAUCUUGAAGCAAUUAACUCCUUCUAAUCUUUAGCUAACAAAGCCCACCAUGCAAAAGGCCCCCGGAGAACAGCACUCCAAAGGCCGCCGUAAGCUCCCUCCAACUAUUCCCCUAUUAUUCGGUGUGUAGGAGCUCAUUGGAGUGCUCGGAGAGCAGGGAUUCGUUUGAAACAACAAAGAUGAAUCAUCACAGAUCAUAAGAUCUUCAUUAACUCCUUAUUUCUCUACUAAUUAACACAAAAGGAAUGACUUGAAUGGUUGACAGG
rnacentral:lncRNA from 1 species